rnacentral:rRNA from 1 species
GUGAGGAAUAUUGGGCAAUGGGCGAAAGCCUGACCCAGCCACGCCGCGUGAGUGAUGAAGGCCUUCGGGUUGUAAAGCUCUGUGGGGAGGGAAGAAAAAGCGGGAGAGUAACUGCUCUCGUGUUGACGGUACCUCCUUAGCAAGCACCGGCUAACUCUGUGCCAGCAGCCGCGGUAAUACAGAGGGUGCAAACGUUGCUCGGAAUUACUGGGCGUAAAGCGCGUGUAGGCUGACAUGCAAGUCGGGUGUGAAAUCCCAGGGCUCAACCUUGGAACUGCACUCGAAACUGCACGUCUUGAGUACUGGAGAUGGAAGCGGAAUUCCGGGUGUAGAGGUGAAAUUCGUAGAUAUCCGGAGGAACACCAGUGGCGAAGGCGGCUUCCUGGACAGUAACUGACGCUGAGACGCGAAAGCGUGGGGAGCAAACAGGAUUAGAAACCCUUGUAGUCC